GAUUGCAAUUUUCACGACCUCUCUGCAAUCGCGGCUG
rnacentral:ncRNA from 1 species